GCCGGAACCACGUGGUGCCUGUUUUGUCGUCCACGCUGCAGACUGGCCGGAGUUACCGCGGGCUGGAAUCGUUCCUCAUGAAAACAUCUUGAGUCCAGGAUCUCCAAUUGCACUCACGCGCUGCGAGUGCAGAAGGAGAGUCCCGUGCCGCUUGGCGCCUGGUUCUGAGCCAGGUACAGCCCUGGCCUUCGGUCUGUCCCCGAGGGCUGAGGCUUCUUGCGGUCUGGGUGCAAGAACAAAAUACGGUUUCUGGAUCGGAAGCCGAGGGUCUGGUGGCCGGCCGGUGGUGAGCGACGCAACUGGGCGGCGAGCGACCUCCUGAUCUCGACCCCUUGUUGCCGAUGGCCAUGGAACCCUUUUACUGGUGGUAUUCGUUCAGAGCAGUUUUCGUGUGUGUUUCAGAGUGGCGUGGCCUAGAGGGCUCCUGGAUCUAGAAUAGAUCCUCUCUGCCCUUAUUUGCCAGUACAUCCUCGUUUUUAAUCUGCUGCAUAGCACGUGGUGGGUUUUAUUAGCUGACAUAGUAGGGACUCAAUAUCUACCUAUUGGGUAAAUAAAUGAAUAAAACAAAUGGUGGUUAAACCUGG
ensembl:lncRNA novel transcript